AGCGAACGCUGGCGGCAGGCUUAACACAUGCAAGUCGAACGGGCGUAGCAAUACGUCAGUGGCAGACGGGUGAGUAACGCGUGGGAACGUACCUUUUGGUUCGGAACAACACAGGGAAACUUGUGCUAAUACCGGAUAAGCCCUUACGGGGAAAGAUUUAUCGCCGAAAGAUCGGCCCGCGUCUGAUUAGCUUGUUGGUGAGGUAAUGGCUCACCAAGGCGACGAUCAGUAGCUGGUCUGAGAGGAUGAUCAGCCACAUUGGGAGUGAGACAC
rnacentral:rRNA from 1 species